rnacentral:rRNA from 1 species
UACGAAGGGGGCUAGCGUUGCUCGGAAUCACUGGGCGUAAAGGGCGCGUAGGCGGACGUUUUUAAGCGGGGGUGAAAUCCUGAGGCUCAACCUCAGAAUUGCCUCGAUACUGGGCGUCUCGAGACCGGAAGAGGUGAGUGGAACUGCGAGUGUAGAGGUGAAAUUCGUAGAUAUUCGCAAGAACACCAGUGGCGAAGGCGGCUCACUGGUCCGGUUCUGACGCUGAGGCGCGAAAGCGUGGGGAGCAAACAGG